rnacentral:rRNA from 1 species
GAUGAACGCUGGCGGCGUGCCUAAUACAUGCAAGUCGAGCGAACAGACGAGGAGCUUGCUCCUCUGACGUUAGCGGCGGACGGGUGAGUAACACGUGGAUAACCUACCUAUAAGACUGGGAUAACUUCGGGAAACCGGAGCUAAUACCGGAUAAUAUAUUGAACCGCAUGGUUCAAUAGUGUAAGACGGUUUUGCUGUCACUUAUAGAUGGAUCCGCGCCGCAUUGGCUAGUUGGUAAGGUAACGGCUUACCAAGGAAACGAUGCGUAGCCGACCUGAGAGAGGGAAAGGAAAAAGAGAAACUGAGAAACGGAGCAGAGUCGAACGGGAGGCAGCAGGAGGAAAGAUGCCGCAAUGGGGGAAAGAGUGAAGAAGGAACGGCGGGUGAGUGAUGAAGGUCUUCGGAUCGUAAAACUCUGUAAUUAGGGAAGAAAAAAUGUGUAAGUAAAUAUGAACGACUUAACGGUACGUAAUAAGAAAGCCACGGGUAACUACGU